rnacentral:rRNA from 1 species
AGUGAACGCUGGCGGCAGGCCUAACACAUGCAAGUCGAACGGAAGCACAGUGAUUGCUUGCGCAUACGGGGGGCGAGGGGCGGACGGUGCCUAAAUAUAUGGCAAUAUACUUUGGAGGGGGUGCUAACACAGGGAAAUAUACUCUAAUCCCCCAUAUGACGUACGUGGGAGAGCAGGGGAUCUUCUGACUUGGUGCGAGUGUAGGAGCCGAUUUCGGUUUGGAUGGUUGGCGGGGUAAAGGCCCAGCAAGGCGACGAUCGGUAGCUGGUCUGAGCGGAUGAUCACACACACUGGAACUGAGACACGGUCCAGACUCCUACGGGAGGCAGCAGUGGGGAAUAUUGGACGAUGGGCGAAAGCCUGAUCCAGCCAUACCGCGUGAGUGAAGAAGGACUUCGGGUUGUAAAGCCCUUUAGGUGGGAAGGAAGAGCAGCAGGUUAAUACCGCGCUGUUAUGACGGUACCAAAAGAAUAAGCACCGGCUAACUUCGUG